CCUACGGGUGGCAGCAGUGGGGAAUCUUCCGCAAUGGGCGAAAGCCUGACGGAGCAAAGCCGCGUGAUCGAAUGAAGGCCUUCGGGUUGUAAAGAUCUGUUGACAGGGAAGAAUAAGCAAUGCGAAUAGCUUUUUGUAUGACGGUACUUGUUUAGAAAGCUCAGGCUAACUACGGGCCAGCAGCCGCGUUAAGACGGAGGGAGCAAGCGUUGGCCGGAAUUACUGGGAGUAAAGGGCGCGUAGUUGGGUGCUUAAGUCAGGUGUGAAAACGUCGGGCUCAACCUGGAGAAUGCAAUUGAAACUGGCUGUCUUGAGGACAGGAGAGGAAGGUGGAAUUCCUGGUGUAGCGGUGAAAUGCAUAGAUAUUAGGAAGAACACCAAUGGCGAAGGCAGCUUUCUGGACUGUACCUGACGCUGAGGCUCGAAAGCGUGGGUAUCGAACGGGAUUAGAUACCCGAGUAGUC
rnacentral:rRNA from 1 species